rnacentral:lncRNA from 1 species
GGAAUUGUUCUUGUGGCAGAAAACACUUUCUGGAAUCUCUCAGAGCUCCUCCAUCUGCAUGGACAAUUUAUCAGUUCGUAUGCUGCUUGUGUUUGUCAACCACUCUUAAAGCUCUGCAGUUUGCAUUCUUGUAAUAGUUUUAGCUUCAAGUGCCUACAGCCUGGAACAUUUGGCUAUGUCAGUAUUUGUAAUCUCAACAUGUCUGGGAAUAUCCUCCUGCACUGAGACCAAAUGACCCAGAAUAGCCCAUGUCCAACUGCCGGACUUGUUCGAUCUCCAAUAAAGGAUGCCUGCUUCCAAACUGCCUGCAGAGAAUAUUCACUAUUUGCAAUGAAUGUUGUGAAACUCCAGCAACUACAGCUUCACUGUUUGCAUGGGCCAGCCAGCAUGAAUUUCACUGAGGCCAUUGAAGUGUUCUUAAGACAAAAGUCAGAAAUGGAGAUGCUUGGCAGAGAGUGAAACAAAGUACUGCCUCUGUCCUGCUUUUGGUAACUGUUGGUGGCUUUCAAGUCCAAAUAUCUGUAGAGUUAUCUGUUGUUAGCUCAAAGAAAUAAAGAAAAAUGGAAAGUGAACUUUGAUAAACAUGUCUCUUUACCCUUGGAAUCAACAAAAAUGAGAGCUUGAAGAUCACCACGUAGUGCUAGCAGUCUGUGUUGGAUCACACAAACUGGCGAGUCUCACCUUCUUCUUCUAUGAUGUUCCUUCCUAAUCCUGCCCUGCAAUUCAUUUUGCAUUGCCUGUCGAGUUGCAAUGGAAUUCCCAUGAUGUUUUCACUGACUGCCUGGGCAGCAUCCAUCAGAGAAAUGGAGCAAGGAUAUGUUUCUACAGAAUAAAGCGGUCUGAAAUGUCCUGCUGUCACAGCACAAAAUCAAGAGCACCUCUUCAUCUUCCCUCGGGCCAACAAAAGGGGACAGGAUUUUCAGUGAAACCCAGAUGUUGCUGUGAGUAAAUGUGUGCAUUUAUUAACAGAUAAUAGUGGAGGACUGCAAUUUAUAUCUGCAGAAGCUGAAAUAAUUAAGGAGGGUUGGGUAUUAAUGGAUGUAUGUUUUGAACAAUCUCAAAAACUUCUUUGUGUGGAAAAUUAAGAUCCUUGCUGAUAUUGAAAUAUCUCAGAUUGUUGUAAACCCAUGUUUCUAAUAUUUUAACUGGGAAUCACUUUCAUGGUCCGGCACUGCUGAUGCUGCCCCUUCAGAAGCCAGAAAAUGUCAGAUAUCUCAGUAUUUUCAGGAUUGUUUUGUUCCCAUUCAGGCUGACAGACAAAAAGGAGGGUUCUGAGGGAAGCUCUUAUUUCCUCCCUUCCCAUCUCCCUUUGCUCUUGCAAUAGCACCAUUGUACAGCACCGUUAUGCCAAAUUUUUUACAUAGAGACAGACUCGCCUGUCCCACAUUGUCAUUUCGACACUGUUUUUAACAAAGAUGUAUUUUCUGAGGAUCAUGUUUGAGAAUAAAUGGCUUUGGGUCUAGCACUAGUAAAAGAAGAAAAGCAAAUCCAAAGAACCCACUCAUUGAGUUCAGAGUAGCUACAGGGCAAUGCUGCAUCUUGCUUUUUAGGUGAAAUCUGCAAUUUUGUUUAUCCAGAGCAAUCUGUAACAGCUCUAUGGUAAAGCUGCUUUGAGGUUUAGUUUUGAAGUUUACUGCUCCCAGUUUUCAUUUAUUCCAUCAUAAUACAUGCAUAAAACAUUUUUAUUAUGUGGAUAGUAAUUUGCAUGAGCACGAGGACUUUAGCUCAAAUGCUCAUGAACAAGACUGUUCUUCAGUCGGGUCAACUGGAAGUUAUUCUGCUUUACUACAGGGCUUUCAGUUAAUUAAAUUCAAAGAACCUGUUCAACUGCUAAGGCCUGUUAUACUCCAGAUAAGGAAAAAAAUACAUUUUUUCAUCAGUCUCUGGGGACAGACACUGCUGAUGCUCCUCCUGCUGUAGCCACAAUACAGUGGGCCACAAUACAAGUGAAAAGGAGGAAGAAUGUCCUGCCCAAAGUAUUUCAGUGGGACAUACACGUCUGUGAUGAACACAGAAAGGACUAUUCAGAUGCAUUGUGUUAUAUGGAAUGAACUACAUUUCUGAUCUUCUAAUGCAAUUAAUAUUGUGCUCUGCAAGUAAUGUAAUUAACACAGGAAAAGAGGAGUGAACUGCAUUUACAGUAGAAGUGAACUUUACCUAAAAUUAUCAUUUCAGAAAAUUGACUGUUCUUCUAACUGUUGGUAAUUAUUUUUUCCUUUUUUUUCUUGAGUUCCUCUUUAUUUGGAUAGGUAAUAAAAUUAGUUUUGAUCCUGCACACUGAAGGAGAAACCCUAGUGGCCACAUUCUGACUCUACUUGAACUAGUGUAGGAGCUCAUACGGAAAAUUAAGUGAAAAUCAAUUAACAGUUGCCCCGGGCAUUUGAAACAAAUGCCAGGAAUCCCUAAAUGUUUCUCAGUUCUGUAUAAAUCAUAGCUGACAAGUGGUGGUAUCUCUGCUUCCACUGAAAAUUUGCUUUGUUACAGUGAAAAUUCUUUUAUUAUAUAUAGUUGCUGAUGUACAUAUAUAUAUGUAUUAACCGUCUACAUUUUCUCAUGUGCAUCUUCCAUAAAUCUCCUUUUGAGUCUCUUCCAAAGAAACUAACCUAUGCUUUUGAAGAAAAGAUGACUACCUGGUUGAAGAAAAGGAGUAAUGGAGAACACAUUCUUCAAGAUAUUGGAUAGUAUUCACUGCACCAUCAGGAGAUAUCUUUGUUUGGUACAAAGUGCUAAAGCCUUAAAAGACUAAAGCCGAACAAUAAUGAAUAGAACUGAUUUCCCAUCUUUGGAUUCUAGAGUGCUGACAUGGGAGUUUGAAGACGGUGGAAGGAAUCUAUGGACUGUAUUUACUGAUGUAAUUCAAUAAUUAAAGAUAAUUGUACAAUUUCUCUUAAGCUUGUUGAAAUUCAAGUUUUCUUUUGCUUUAGGCACGACCCAAAAAAUGUAAUAAUAUUUACCAUACUACCUAAUUUAUGUAUGUCUUUAAAUAGUUUACAAAGUGAAUUGAUAAUACAAAAAGUACCCAAAAUCAGAGAGAGAAUUUGUACAGAUUUAUACAAAUCCACGAACUUGAAAAGCCUGCCUUUGUCUCAGAACUUCUAUCUUUGUUUCAAAGAGAGAAACUGGUACAUUACGUAGAUAGGAGAAAAGGAACUGAAGGGUAUAGAUAAAGGAGAAAUGAGCUUAAAGCCUAAGGAAGAGGAAAAAAAUAUAUAAUACAAUCGGAGUGAUCAGAGAUAAAGAACAAGAAAAAAUCAUCAAGAGAUUUUUCUUGAAAGAGGAGGUAGAAUGGAGAUGUAUUUUGUAGGCUACUCUGUUGGAUUAAAGAAGGCCUGAAAUGAAAAGGUAUGUGCAACAAAGGCGUGAGGCAGAUGGAAGGCUUCUCUUCUUAUUUCCUAAGGCUGAGGGCUUCCAGUCCUUUUUGCAUUUGGCUAAUUGCAAAGUCUGCAAUCUCAAAGGGUCACAAUCAUUUUCAGCUUUUGCUGGUGAGAGACACAAAGCAGACAACACUGCACGUUGCUCCUGCUAUAAUAAGAUGUCAUUUCAUCAGGAGGAGUAGACAAAAGGAUAGAUUUUCCUCUUUCCUCUUUUCCUCUGUUUUGCUUUGGGAUAUAACAUUCAGUUUCUCUCUCCAGUUUCCUACAACAUCACAAGGCCAGUUUUUGCUUUGAACUUCAGUAAUAUCAAGUACCUUCCAUGUAAAUGGUGCUUGAGAUAUAAGCGUAUUGCAUGGCCUCUGAGAAACCAAGACCACAUGGAAACUGUUCCCCCCCAAUUUCUGCCAAUAACAUCAGAUUUUGCAUUGCUUCCCCAACAAGAACUGCCCUGUAUCAGAGGCUAGCUUUGUGCAGGGGCUGAUGGUUCUGUAUAGUUUGUGUUUGUGAGCCAUCAAAGGCUUUGAGUGGGAGAGAGGAAACGAUGAAGGAAACCUGGAAUCUGUGCCCAUACUGUUGCAACCUUUCUGAGUUUACUUUAAGAAUCUUUAUCCAGCUCUUCAUCUUUUCACUUUGAUCACUGUAACAUCUCUUCACCUUGGUUUCUAGCUUUUUCCUUUCCCCACACCAUCAAUCUGCACAGAUGCUGCUUUUUCCAGUCAGAGCCUCUUUUGGCAUUUUUGCACUUUACCUCCAUCUUAUUUCUGAACUUCUGUUUCUCUUGUUGUCCCUCGGUGACUGUGUUUUUGCAUGCUGUAGAGAUACUCAAUGCUUUUUUUUUCUGUGCCAUGUCCUCAUUCUAUUCUAUGACCUCUUUUGUGCUGCCUGUACUCCAGGAGUGCUGAGACAAACAGGCUGGGACAGAACACAUCUCUGUGCUCUUCCUGGGAGCACAUUUUAUUCCAGAAAAUUUGUUCUGCUGGUCUCACCUAUAUUUCUUCAAUUGUUUAAUAUUAAGCACUUAUCCAGCAGCGUGAAUUACAAUUAUCAUGAAUUAUACAACAUGGCAGUUUCUGCCCUGCUUUGCUCUCAUUUACAUAACUGCUAGACUGUAAUCACAUUUUGUCUUCCAGACAGAAAUCUUCCAGACUUCUCCCAGGUUUAAUUGGAGGUGCUUUGUAAACCUUUGAUGGUUAAGGACACCAGAUUUUGGAGUGAAAUGCUGGUAAGCUUGAAAGCACAAAAGAAACAGCUUGUGGAAAAUCUGUGAAGUCCAUCUAUUUCUACAAUAGGAUUAUUCAUCACCACAUGUUUUCCCCAUCUGGAAGUAAAGGGACAAAAUGCUGAAACCACCACCGUCUCACUUGCAAAUUGCUCCACAGUCUAACCAGUCAUGCUAUUGAGAAGAUAUGCCUGCAGUUCAACCCAAAUUCUCUGUUGCUGUGUUUUGCACAUGUUCAACAAACUCAGCUUCCUUCUUGCGGUGAGGAGUACUCAAGAUGUGGUCUUAUCAGUGUCAAGCAUUGAGGGACAAGCAGAACAAUUCAAAGGCUAUGACUAUCCUUGAGACCUUGUAGCACCUGCACCUACAGAAACUGUCCACAGAGGCCUUACCGGACCAUGUUUUAUUGUCAUUGUUUCUGGGCAAAGGUUUUAUAAUGCAGCAGUGGAGUCCAUCUUGCUGAAGCAAUGGAGACAGAUAGUGAUGGAGCUGCCAGAACAACCUGUAAAUUAUCUGCCCUAAAAUCCUCAAAGAGCACUUUGUGCUGAAAAGAAGGCUGUUCAAGGCAGGAGGGGAAGAAUUUGAUCUUGCCUACAUUUGUUGUACAGGAACAGAAAGGAGGAGUGCUUUAUUCAUCAAGUGAACACAGCACUUUAAAAAUUCAACUAAGUCAAUAUAGGAAUACGUUUAAAAUGUAUUCACCUUCAGAGAGAGAUUUCCUGGACUGACAGAACUGCCAAUGGGUAUGAGUUAUUGCUUAGCAAAAGUUGCUGCAAAGGAUGCUGUACCCAUCACCUCUGUGAAGGGGUCUUAUGUGGAACAAGCUGCUAAGAAAGUUAUGGCCAACAGAAGUUCUGCCUUUGACUGGUGCUUUGGUAACUACCUGUGGGGAUAGUCUGCUGUUAUUCUAUUUUUCUUCCUUCUUUGUCAGAGAAAAUGGCAGUCUGGUGACAGUGUUCUUGAGAAUAGCAACUUCAUUCUACCAGGUUCUGCUGGUAGAGUAGAAGUGGAAAGUCCUGCCUGAGAAUGUGCAUUGUAGAAUCACUGCUCCCAAAGCUGGCAGCUCUGCCAAAACCCAGAACAUGAGUGCUUUGGGGAUGCCCUGGUAGAAACUUAGGUCAGUGCUGGCCUUGGGCCAUCCAGAGUAAGAUGUGAACUGCCUGGACUACGGCAUUACUGGGCAGAAAGAGUGUCUGAUCCCUUCAUGAUUUCAACUUCAGAUUUGCACACCUUAUAUUUACCUCUGAGUACUUUGUAGCACAGUUUGAUAUUUAUGCUUUGACUUUAAUUCAGAAAGAAUCUGGAGAGGAAUAAGAGAGAGGCUAAAAAUGUGCAAGACAAAAAAUACAUGUGUGAUUUCUGAAAUCUGACAGUGUUUAGGAGGGGAAAUAGAAGCUACACUGUUGAUUAUUUUACUUUAUUCUCCCAAUUGAAUGUGAUUUUUUUUGUUUUGUUAUUUUUUAUUUUUCUUUCUAUGCUAUGUAUGGAUGAUACCAGGCCAGUUCCUACCCAAAGGCUUGCUUAAGUGCUUUCAAUCUUACUUGCUUACCUUGCAUCUACAGUAACAAGGAUUCAGUUGUGAGUAAGCCUCAGCAUGUUACUUUAGUUCAAAUGAUUUCUAACUGGAAUAUCAGUGAAUCUUUACCUUCAGGUCAUCCGUGCUCUUUUGUAAGAAUGAAUUUCAGUAGCUUAAAAAUGCUCAGAGUUUGUGAAUGACAAUGAUAACUCACUGCUAUGAAACUUCCUGUAAGUGUGCACCCAUCUCCCUAAAUAAGUAGAAAUGGGUUUCAAAUAACAGGCUCUUCUGUUUAUAAGAGUGGUAAUUAGAAGUGCAUUAAGGAAACCCUCAUUUCAGAAGCAGGCGUAUUAUAUCUAUGAAGUUUCCUGCUUUUUUCCUUUUCUAUAUAUGUUUGAGGCUCCUGAUUGUCUAAUGAGAUUAGGGUAAAUUUGAAAUUAAUUGUAUCUUGUAUAUGUUUUUGAAAUAACAGGCAUAAAGCUACAUUAACUUGUUUCCAUUUGUGAAAGCAGCCUGUUUUCCUUGGUACGUAAGUAACUUCAUGGUUACUAAAGUCUUACUUAUACCCUUUGAAUUGUAUGAGCAAACCUUUCUCUAUUUUAUGUGUUCAUGAAGAUAUUGAAGAAAUAUCAGCAGCUUUGUAUGCAAGUAGAUGAGUGAAGUUGGCAUUUAAACUCUUGAAAAUUACAUAACAGCUACUAGUGUUAAGAAAUUAUAGAUAUGAUGAAGGAAGAGCUGUGAAUUUACAUUUAGAAAUUAACCCAGCUGGGUUUUGUGUGUGAGUGAAAGGUGAAGGAGAGAUAUUUUUAAAAGCUAUUAUUGUGCAUCAGCAAGGUGUGUGUCAUUAACUAAUUAUUUUGAGAAUGCCUUACUAAGACAGUGGUGGUAAUUAGUCUUUAGAUUUGUAGAAGGAAUGUGAUAUUCCUUUUAAUUGGGAAAGUUUUCCUGCCUCUGGGCACGCGCCCUGAAGUGGAGAGGGGGGGAGAGUAGAGGAGAAGGGAAAGUAGGAGGGGAGUGGAGGGAAGAGGUGAGGAAGGAAGGAGACUCAGUGGACUUUAAGAAUUGUCCAUCCUUUUCCAAAAUAGUCAGCAGUGCUACUGAAAAGCCUUCCUUCUGAAUGAUAUUAUCCUAUCCUAACAUUACUUUGAAGUUUUCUACCCCUAGAUGAAUUCUACAUUCAUUAAUGUCAGCAAGCCUUUUUUUUUUUCUGGACUAUUGAGGCCAUCUUUCCUGCAAAUGACCUUAACAGCUGCAAAGAGAAAAGAUAUGAUAACAUUACAUUAAAACACACACUAUGGUAGUUCUCUGAAAAUUUGGAGAUUUUGUUAGGUUUCUGGCUGAGUUUAUGAAUUUACUGUAUGCAAAGCUGCAAUGGAUUUUUCAGUUCCCUCCACUAGUUCCCCCAAGCCUCAGGUUAUGAGAGAAGAGCCAAAAAUGCAGGGCAAUGUUAAUUAUAGGAUAGCCAGAGGCAUUAUGUUCCCUCUUCCAAGCUGUUCUCAACAGUGACUUAUUGCCUCACUUCAGAGAACAAAUUAAGAUGCUCUGCAAUGAUGGAUCCCAAAAACUUGUUUGUCCUGAGAACCAAGGAAGAGAAAAAGGUGUGGCAAUCAGUGAAUGCACCAGAACACGUGAAGCUAGGGGGAUGUGAAAAUAUAAUGCUGAAAUACCCAGUCUAUCUUUCCUUCUCUGCCCUAACCUACAGGAGAAAUAAAAUCAGUUAUAUGUUUUGACUUUCUGUGAAAUAGAGGGAGCAUUAGACCUUCUGCAUUCAAGGGGGGAACCAUGGACAUAAGAAUAGCUGUUUAUCUUCAUUUGUGGUCUUGGAGAUGAAUAAGGAAUGAGUGACGAUGUGUAUUCACUACUGAGUACAUAACACAACUGUUCGAGAGAAGAUGCAGGUUUCCAAAAUCUACCAGCUGCCAUGCACUGGGCUAGUUUGGCAACGUCCAUCUUACCACUCGUGAAAGUAGGCCUUCGCAUAUUUGUGUAAUUCAGCAAAGGAUGUGGUCAAAUUAUUGCCUUUGUCUCUUUUUAUUCUGAAUUACCUCAAGAACUAAGGUCAAAUAAGGAAAAACUAUCCCACAGCAAAAGAGAGAAGAAGCAAAGACAUGCUGGUUAGCUUCUCACUGUCUGCUAAACUGCAUGAAGUCUACUUGAAAUCUCUGAUCUACACUAACAUACCAACUUAAAAAAAAUCCACAAAUGCUAUACCCUGCAACUAGAUAAGUAGGCAGCUGGGUUAAACUUGUAGAUAGUGAGUCAGGCUCCUCAGAUUCUGGGGAAGACUGAAGAUGAGAGGAAGCAGAGUAACUGCUGGCCCUUUGGUAUGGAACACAGGCAAAGUCAGGGGACAACAAUGGCAAAAGUUCCCUGGUCUAUGGGGUAUUUGGGACGUGAAUCCCCUUCCUGAGGGUGAAAGUGGUGCCUGAAAGAGUCAUGUACAGAGGUCAGUGCGUUAGGCUGGUGAGUGUCCAGGAGGAAACACUCCUGGAGGACAGCAAUACAAUAAGUUUAAGAAAAAAAAAAGGCCAGAACAUAAAUUCUUGCCACCCUUUAAAAUUUAACAAUAUUAAGCAUAAUCAUUUGGCAGUUCACUUAAUCUCAGUGGCAAAAAUAACUGGUUAUACGUUAUUAUUGAAGAUUAAAAUCUUAAAUCUUCCAUCAAGGCGGGGAGGGAGCAGGAGGUGCUAGAUAUGACUUUUGUCAUAUCAGGACCCUAAUGAAUUCUGCAAAAAAAGAAUUCUUAUGAAAUAUCCUUUCCAUUCAGCUAUUAUCUUUGGCUGUAGCAAUUACUCAUUUGCUCUAAACUGAAAUCCAACAACAUGAAGCACAGCUAUUCUCUUUCAAACUAAAAUCAGUAUUGGCAGGAUGACUGAAACUAUUUGCUUCCAUUAAAGGCAAAAUAUGUCCUAAGUGGUCACAAGUGUGCCAUAUUCCUCAGCUGUCAGUGCCUAAUUUGAAAUAUUUAAUUUAAAACAUUUUUAAAGCAGGCUGGUUGUCUCUGUUGCUCUGAGCUUACAUCUCCUACAUUCUAUUUCCAAUACCUGCCCCCAGAUCCAUUGGCUGCUUCUGAUGUGCUAAUGCAUUUAGAAAUGUGACUUUCCUCAUCUAUGCUAGACAAAAAGUCUAAUGCAAGAUCAUGUUGGUGAGUUCAUUCUAGAACACCAUCUUCUCUGGCCUUUUGUUAUGGGAGAAGCAACAGGAAGGAAACUGAGCUCCAACUACUGCUCCAGUAUGGUCAGCAAGAUGCACAGGAGGGAAAUUCUGUACCCAGCUUGUGGAAGGUAUGGCAUGCCUCUUUCAGAUCCUCCUCAGAAGGGCAUCUACAUCACAGUAGUGCGGCCAAAGAUGUGGUGGAGAAGCCAUGAGAGAGGAGUCCCAGAGAGAACCUCAUAAUCCAUAGAAUCAUAGAAUCAUUAACAUUGGAAAAGACCUCUACAGUAAUCUAGUCCAACCACCAAUCUGUCCCCACCAUGCCCACUAACCACCUCCCUAAGUGCCACAUCUACACCUUUUAUUAACACCUCCAGGGACUCCACCACUUCCCCAGGCAGCCUGUUCCAAUGCAUUAACACUCUUUUGGAGAAUAAUUUUUUCCUAAUAUUGAACCUGAACUUCCCCUGGCACAACUUAAAGCCAUUACUUCUUGUCCUAUCACUAACUACAUGGGAGAAGAGGCCAACCCCCAUCUUGCCACAGACUCCUUUCAGGCAGUUGUAGAGGGCAAUAAGGUCUCCCCUGAGCCUCCUCUUCUCCAGACCAAACAAUUCCAUUUCCCUCAGCUCACCCCAAGACCUGUGCUUCAGAUCCUGGAUUAAUCUUCUGUGCACUUGAAUAAAAAUGUAGUUUCUACUGAAAGACAAAACUUUUCAUGCAAAGAGAGGACAAUUCUGUUUAAAAACAACAGUAAGUACAUCAGAGACAUUGUAUUCAUCCUACAUUCUGAAAAAAAAAAUGCCAAUAAUAAAGCUCUAUCUAGAGAACUGUGGAAGGAAAAAAUUUUUUGAUAUCUUUUUUUUCUAAACAAUUAAAGCUGAAGCAUUCAGCAUUUUGGAUCCAGUGUAAAUCCUCACAUUCCUGGGCAAUAUAUAUACAUAUUUUCUGUCAGCAAAUCCUUAGUUUCCACAUUAGUUAAUGUUCCACCUGCUGUAUAAACCCAGAGAAGCUGUCUCUUGCAACUGUAGUGUUCCCUUCUGGCAGUCCUUUUUUCUUCCUUUUUCUUCUGUCAAAUAUGCAGAAAAUACCUUUGAAAAUGUACACAGUGUUCACAAUAAAUGGAAAUAACACAGAUGCACGCGUGUACAUUUAUGGAAGUGUAAUAAUUCUGAGAACAGUACAGAGAGCUCAGUUAACAGACUACAGUAAACGAUGCCAGGUUACCUAAACCUCAUAGUCCCAAAAGGAAGGAUUUUAGACAGCUUGCUGAUGUUCACAGUGUCAUGACGUAUGUCAGCACCAAGCCCACGUAACGGGUUUAAAUGAUCUAUUGACCUCCAACGGAUAUUAUGAACAUGGGUAUCAUCCUUCAUUGUUAAUAAAAAGGGAACCAACUGAGACAUUUUGAUUCUUGUUUGUCCUGCUUCACCGUUAUUCAGACCCUUCCAUAUUGGAAAAGCAUGAAGAGACAGCAAGCAGUUUCAAUUCAGUGUUUCUGAACUGGGGAUCCAUUGUGAUAGGAAAGAUUUCAAGUUAAAGUGAGAUGAAAGAUGUGGCCCAAAUGAGCAAAAGUGGUUGGUGGCAGGAAAUUCGCUGAUGCUAAUUUAUACUGCUUAGAAUAUUUUCUCCAAACUGCUAGGUGGGAGGGUAGCUAGUUGAUCCCUCCAGAAAGCCCAGGAAAAGCCCAUGCUGUUUCCAUAGCCUCUCUGUGAAGCCUGCUCCAGAGUUCUGCCAACCUCAAAGUAAAGAUUUUUCUCAUGUUCUUAUGGAACUUUCUAUGCUCCAGUCUGUGCCUGUUGCCCUUUGUCCUGUCACUGGGUACCACUGAAAAGAGCCUGGCUCUUUAACUCCCGCCCUUUAGAUAUUUAUAAGAGUUCUAAGAUUUCCUCUCACUCUUCUCCAGGCUGAACAACCUCUGGUCUUUUAGUCUUUCCUUAUAAAGGAGAUUCUCCAUGCCCGUAGCCACCUUUUAGGCUUUCCUCUGGACUUUUUCCAGUAGUUCCUCAUCUUUCUUGAACUGAGGAGCCCAGAACUGGACACAGUACUCCAAGUGAGGCCUCACCAGGGCAGAGCAGAGGGGGAGGAUCACCUCCCUAGAUCUGCUGGCUAUGCUCUUUCUAAUGCACCCCAAGAUACUGUUGGUCUUGUUGGCCAUAAGGGCACACUGCUGGCUCAUGACCAUCCUGCUGUCCACCAGAACACCCAGGUCCUUCUCCACAGAGCUCCUCUCCAGCAAGUCAGCCCCUAACCUGUACUGAUGCAUAUGGUUCUUCUUUCACAGGUGGAGGACUCUGCCCUUGCCCUUGUUGAACUUCAUCAGGUUUCUCUCCUCCCAGCUCUCCAGUCUGUCCAGAUCUUGCAGAAGGGCAGAGCAUCCUUCUGGUGUGUCAGCCAUUCCUCCCAGCUUUGUAUCAGUUUCACACUGAUAAAAGGGUCAAUGUACACUGGCUAUUCUUAGCCACUUUUUUCAUAAUUUGCAUUUAAAAAGCUAUCACAUGUCUUUUAAUUCCCUUGUUAUACACCUGUAAAUUCUCACUGUAUGUUUUGCUGAUAUUUAUCACCAAUGAAAGUUCAUUCACCACAGAUCCCUCAUUUAGGAAAGGAAUAUAUGGGGGUAUUGUCUGAGCUCUAUCUUUCUUAAUGCCACAGUACAUGAAGAAAAUGAAGCAAAAUAAAAUAAAAUAAAAUAAA